GACGAACGCUGGCGGCGUGCCUAAUACAUGCAAGUCGAACGCUGAAGAGAGGAGCUUGCUCUUCUUGGUUGAGUUGCGAACGGGUGAGUAACGCGUAGGUAACCUGCCUUGUAGCGGGGGAUAACUAUUUGAAACGAUAGCUAAUACCGCAUAACAAUGGAUGACACAUGUCAUUUAUUUGAAAGGGGCAAUUGCUCCACUACAAGAUGGACCUGCGUUGUAUUAGCUAGUAGGUGAGGUAAUGGCUCACCUAGGCGACGAUACAUAGCCGACCUGAGAGGGUGAUCGGCCACACUGGGACUGAGACACGGCCCAGACCCCUAAGGGAGGGAGCAAGAGGGAAACAUCGGAAAUGGGGGCAACCCUGGACGAGGAACGCCGGGUGAGAGAAGAAGGGUCUCGGAGCGUAAAGCUCCGUUGUAAGUCAAGAAAGGGUGUGAGGGUGGAAAGUUCACACUGUGACGGUAGCUUAACAGAAAGGGACGGCUAACUACGUG
rnacentral:rRNA from 1 species